rnacentral:rRNA from 1 species
AGUCUGGUGCCAGCAGCCGCGGUAAUUCCAGCUCAUUUAGUGUAUAUUAAAGUUGUUGCAGUUAAAAAGCUCGUAGUCGAUCAUCUAGUGCUGGCUGCUUCGGCUUCGGCUGCGGUACGCGAGUGCUAUCUGCUCGAGAACUUUAUCGGUCUUAACUGGUCGAUGAUGCUGAUCGGGCACUUUCCUGAGAAAAAAUUAGAGUGUUCAAAGCAGGCUAAUGCCUUGAAUAUUACAGCUUGGAAUAAUAGAAUAAGACUGAAGUCUCUUUUGUUGGUUAUGAACUUUAGUAAUGGUUAAUAGGAACAGUCGGGGGUAUUAGUAUUUAAUUGUCAGAGGUGAAAUUCUAUGAUUUAUUAAAGACUAACUUAUGCGAAAGCAUUUGCCAAGGAUGUAUUCAAUUGAUCAAGAACGAAAGUUAGGGGAUCAAAGACGAUCAGAUACCGUCCUAGUCUUAACUAUAAACGAUUCCGACUAUGGAUCAGAAGGGUUUUCCAAUCCCUUUUGGCACAUUAUGAGAAAUCAAAGUCUUUGGGUUCUGGGGGAAGUAUGGACACAAGUCUGAAACUUAAAGGAGUUGACGGAAGGGCACACCAGGUGUGGAGCCUGCGGCUUAAUUUGACCCAACACGGGGAAACUUACUAGGGCAAGACUAGGGUUGGAUUGACAGAUUGAGAGCUCUUUCUUGAUUCUUAGGGUGGUGGUGCAUGGCCGUUCUUAGUUGGUGGAGUGAUUUGUCUGGUUAAUUCCGUUAACGAACGAGACCUCAACCUGCUAAACUAGGAGCCGGAUUAAACAUUCGGUUUCCUUCUUAGAGGGACAAAGUGUUCAAGCACUGGGAAGUGAGGCAAUAACAGGUCUGUGAUGCCCCUAGACGUCCUAGGCCGCACGCGCGCUACAAUGACACGUUCAACGAGUUUCUUCCUGGUCCUGACGGAUUCGGGUAAUCUUCAUAGUACGUGUCGUGCUUUGGGAUAGUCCUUUGCAAUUAUAGGACUUAAACUAGGAAUACCUAGUAUAGGUAAGUCAUCAGCUUGCCUAGAUUAUGUCCCUGCCCUUUGUACACACCGCCCGUCGCUCCUACCGAUUUUGAGUGAUUAGGUGAACCUUCUGGAUCAGAGUAGUCUUCAAGGCUGUUCUGAGAAGUUAAGUAAAUCAUUAUCACUUAGAGGAAGGAGAAGUCGUAACAAGGUUUCCGUAGGUGAACCUGCGGAAG